AGAGGUCCAGUCUCUCCUACCAGCAACACUGGAUCCUCAUGGACUGCAGACUGUGUAAACACAAAUUGUACAGAAGAGCAUAUAAAGCAGCCACCAAAGAAGAGCAUGACCACAUUCUACAGCAGGUGAUGGGCAGAGCUAUCCCUCUGAAUAUGAAGUUCUAUGCUGACAAGAUGUAAUACAUGGCAGGCAUUCUAUCUAAUACUGACUGGAACUAUACGCUAUACAUGGGCCGAAUGGCCUCUCUCCUGUUUGGAUCUUCAGGUGCCUCUUCAGCUGGUGCUGGUGGGAGAAACUCUUCUCACACUGGGGGCAGCUGUAGGGUUUCUCCCCUGUGUAAGAAAUCCCAUGUCGCCUCUUUAGGUUGAACGAGUGUGAGAAACUGGCCAGGAACAGGUGGCAGCCAAACAUUUGUCUAUUAAUGUUCUGUGGGGACCCCAGGAAGAGUAACUGCUGAUUUUGCAACAGCUAAUGGGGAUCCUAAUAAAAUACCAAAUACCACAGCUGGUUGUAGAAGUUGUCCAAAGAGAGAGCCUAAUGUUGCAGAAACUUGGUUCAGGAUCUCUGGAGGUAUUUCAGCAUUCCCUGGCCGUUCAAUCAAAUGUCAAAUGUUCUGUUAUAUAACAAUCCAAAAUUGUAGCCUAUACAUUGACAAUGUACAUGUUUUCAUUUAGAAAUCUACAUCAUGCAUGUUUUUGUUUACAUUUACAAAGCUCAUAUCUCCCUCUGAUUGUAUGAUUAUCUUUUGUGUUUAUGAUUUAAAGUAAAUAUUUCUCAUCAAUGAUCAACACUGGAUGAAUUGAAUAAAUAGCUAGGUUUAGCCUAAAACAUUGGAAACAUAAUAUAUGUUUAAUGACCAGUCUUUUAUCAACAUUUGGUUUUUCUUGUAUUUCCACAAGUGCAUUUCUUAGAAAACAACAAUGAUUGGGUUUAGAUCUUCUGUUAAAUCUGUGUUUCCAUUAUUUUGUGAAAGUGACUAGAGUAAGCAAGUUCAAUGGUAGAAAUGAUGGCUAUGCUUCUUACUGGACAUA